rnacentral:lncRNA from 1 species
AUUAUAAAAUUGUACAUGGGAACCCGACAGUAAUUCAUAUCAAGAAAAUAGAUAGGGGAUGGUAAAUAUAGCUCACCAUGAAACCCCACCAUUAGUGCUCUGCGCAGAAGUUCGAAUCCAGGCGAAUUUGAGAAAGGAUAUGGAGGUUCAUUAUCUCUGGUGACGCUUAAUAAAUAUAAAGUCAGCUCUUUAUGACCAUACCUAACAGCGCUGUGAAGAGGCGCAAAAUUGUCGCGUUGGCAGAUAUUGGGCAAGCUUGGGUUUUUGUUCACUAACAACUUGACUGCUUUUAUAUUGCCAGCCCUUGCAGCGUUGAAAAGGGCAGUGACGCCAUCAGAAUCCCGCAGAGCCAGUGCCUCACUUGGCAUAAACUCAACCAACUUCUCCACGAAACCCAUUCUGGCCUCUCCUAACUCAACUGCUAUGUGAAGCAUUCGGGAAUCAUCUGUUCCGAUCAGGGCGGAGAAUGAUCGUGGAUCAUCCUUCAAUAAUUUUGAAGCACUUUCCCAGUCACCAUUGUGUUGGGGAUAAAUGUAUGCCCAAGAUCCAAUCUAUCAUGUAAUCAACUUUAGUUUUAAUAAGGUAUUAAUUCUUUAUUUCAUUAUCAUAUCUGUUUAAAAUAGUUUAUAUGAUAAGGUCCUUGAUUAAAAUUUGAAAAUUGUUAUCAUGAUAGAGAUUAUGAUAAUGAGAAGCAAUUCUUUUAAUAAUUUUAAUCUAAACUGUUCUUGAUCAUAGGAUUAUUGUCAACAGGACAUCAAUAAUCCAGAUAGAUCAAUAUAUAUGUGAUGGUCUUUAUUGGAUAAAGAUUGAUAUAUCUCAUUUGUUAAAUUACAUAUAUAGAUGAUGCACAUGUAGAUGUGAUCAUUGAACUGACUCAACUGAGAAUUUCUAAUGGUCAUCUUUACCUUAAAUUGUCAAUAGGAAUUUCUCAAGAAGAAAUAUAAUAGUUUUCUUUGACCUGAGAUUAUCAAAGUAAUUAACAAGUUAUUUAUUAUAUUUUAAUCCCGGACACCUAAUGCCUUAGGGCACUAGUUGAAUGGAUAUUGGAUAUAAUUAAAUACUUGUAGAAUUAAUGAUUAAUCAAGAAGGAAUCCAUCAACUCGUGGUAAUGAGUUUGAGCUCUAUGAUAAAAAUAAGACCUUGGCCAAGGGCAAUUGAAUGAAUGAAGAAAUGAGUUUCUUAAGUUAUUCACUAAAUAAAUAAUGUGCUGACUUAUUAGAGUUUGACAGUAAUACCAUACUCUAGAGUUAGCCCAGAGCUGUGAAUGAUGGAAGGAAAUAUUACAUUAUUCUUCUACCGGUUCUUGAAAGUAAAAGAUAUUACUUCAUACUAUCUGGACGUUAAGGAGUGUUGCUAGAUGCCUACCUUAAUUAGUAAAUUGAUUUGAUUAAUUUACUACCAGCUUAGUAAUGAACCUACGGGGUUACACACAAACGAGUGUUUUAAUCUUUGCAAAGAACUAUUUAUUAUUAUUUGAUAAUUAAAUUAGAGAAUUUAAUUUUAAUCAAAUAAAUAAAUAUGUUCUAUGUGGAAUAUUAUUAUAUUCUUUGCUAGCACCAAGAAUAUAAUUAAUAUAUAGAUAAAAAAAUAAAAUAUUUUUCUUUGGACGUGGAAGUUAGUCCACGAGAAUGUUUGCUAAACAUUUGCAAACAUAUGGGUACAUGCAGCAACUUACAGGAGGGAUGUGGGUUUUGUUUUUAACUUACAAGACUUGGUCAAAGUGUUUUUCAAAUGCUAUUGAAAAUAGCAAAAGAAAAACAAAUGGACCAAUAGAAUCUCUUAGUAGCCCAAAAAAGAAGGAGGACACGAUAGAGAUAGAUUAAGUGAUAAAAUCAAAAAUCAAAUUAGUUGAGUUAUCUUAUCACUUAAAACAGAAGUUGUAUCGGAUAUGCUAUAUAGCAUAUAUACACAAUCUGAAUAAGGAUCGAUCUAUCUUUAUCCUCCUUGUUUUUACGCCAAAGAAAUACAAAGUGUUGUUCUAUUUUUUUUAAGUUCCGCGUAUCAAAGGGUUGAUAGCAAAGAUUAAUUUCGGUGUGGAUACACGUAGAGUCUUCAUACAAUUGGAGAAAAUUUUAUGCUUGAAGAACUGAUAUCCAGGUUAUUAUUUUAAAUUUUUUGAUAGCUGCAGUAUAUAUUUUGAAUGCAAAAUAGAUCAAUUUUCCGCUGUAUGUGUUAUAAAUUUAUUUUAUAACCUUUCAAUUGGUAUCAGAGCCAGGUUUAUUUUUGUGUUUAAAAUUAUACUACCAAUAUAAUUUUCGUGACGUGAAAGCUUUAUCCUCUGUUAUUGCUGUUCAUUAGACUGCAACAGUUGCAGAAGUAAAGAUUGAUGCGACAAUUGCUUAUUGCUUUUCUGUUGAUAUACGUGCCUAAUAGAUAUUUCAAAUUUAUAUUCACAUGCUGAAGUAUUACUUUUUGAAUUAUAUAUAUAUGUGAUCUUUUACUUUGAAUCCCGCAUGCAUAUAUAUUUUUAUAUGCUAAAGUCUUGUCAUGCUUUAUCAUUGUGAUAAGUAAAAGUUGAUUCAAAUAAAUGAUCCUCUGUCUUGCCAUUUAUCUAAUAUAAAAUAUAGUAAUAUAUAGUUGAUAUAUUUUGACUUACGUUUUAUUAAAACUAUUUGGCUUUAAUAUGAAUAUAUAAAUAUACAUGUACCUGGAGAGGUAUAAUUCAUUAUUGAUUUUGUUGAAUUAUUAUAUAUAGUGAUAUAUAUUAAUUCUUUGAUAGAUGAAUUCUAUUCAUGUAUAAUAAUGUGUUUAUGUAUAUUUGCAAGUUGUGUAAAUUUUUUAGCAUGUGAUGAAAUUUUUUUUAUUAAUAACAAGGAACGACCUGAUAACCAGGAGACUUGUAAUUAAUUACAGCAUGUAUGUUUAAAAUAAUUUUAUACUUAAUGUCUGGACUACCCAGAGAAGUAUUAAAUUAAAUUCAUAGAUAUUAAUAAGUUUGACCUGACAACCAGGAACUUAUGUAAUAUAUUAUUCUUUUGAAAUUGUAUGAGAUACAUUUUGUCUUAGAAUAUGUAUGAGAAACGACUUGAUAACCAAGUGGCUUAUUCAUAGUUUUAAGAAAUUAUAUAUGUUUUGACAUAAUUAUAUUUUAAUAUCCAGAAUGUCUUCCUUAUCACUCCGUUCCAUACUUGAAACUUCAAAAUUGGUUGGAGCCAAUUAUGAUGACUGGUACCGCAAUCUGAGAAUUGUUCUCAUGCAUGAAAAACUUAUCAAUAUAAGUGAUAAGCCUGCUAUAACUGCACCAGCUGACACAAAUCAUGCUGAAGCAACCAAGACCUAUCAAAAUACUUGGAAGAAUGUCUUUCUGCAAAAUGCAUAAUGCUAGCAUCCAUGAGUCCUGAACUUCAGAGGCAACAUGAGGAUAUGGAACCACCUGCAAUCAUCGAGCAUCUUAAGAAGAUGUACGGUGGACAAAGUAGGACAGCUAGAUACCAGUUAUCUAAGGCUUUGUUCAGGUCCUCAUUAGGUGUAAAUGCUCAAGUUGGACCCCAUGUUCUGAAGAUGAUUGAUCUUAUUGAACAACUUGAGAAGUUGGGGUGCACGCUUGGAAAGGAACUUUCUCAAGAUUUGAUUUUACAAUCACUUCCUGAUUCUUUGUCACAAUUCAUUGUGAAUUUCAACAUGAACAAAAUGAGUUGUGAUCUGCAUGAGAUGCUUAACUUGUUAAUUGAUUAUGAGAAUCAAGUUUCCUCUGAAAAGAAUAAAGGAAUUGUCAUGGUGGUUGGCAAGACUUCUAAGAAAAAGGGCAAAGGUAAAUAUAUACCAAAAAGGAAACCUCUUGGAACUAAGGGUGGUGUGACCAAACCCAAAUACAAGAAGGUUAAAACUGACCACAGUGAUGCUGAAUGCUUCUUCUGUAAAGAGAAAGGACAUUGGAAGAGAAACUGCAAGAAAUAUCUUGAUUCUUUGAAAAACAAGAAACAAGGUAAGACAUUAAUGAAAAAUGUUUUCAUGAUUUCUUUAACUGUCACAGAUUCUUCAACAUGGGUAUUAGAUACCGGUAGUAGUUUUAACAUCUACAAUAUGUUGUAGGGGCUGAAGAUAACUAGAUGGUUGAAGAAAGGAGAAAUCAACCUUCAAGUAGGGAAUGGAGCAAAUGUUGCCGCCUUAGCUUUAGGAUCAAUUUCUUUAAAUAUGCCCACUGGCAAAGUACUAGUGUUAAAUGAUUGUUAUUAUGUUCCGAACUUUGUUUCAAAUAUAAUUUCAAUUUCUAUGUUGGACAAGCGAGGUUUUCGCAUUAUUUUCAAUAAUAACAUUUGCUCAAUUUAUCAUGAUGAUGAUUUAUAUGUAAAUGGUUAUCUCCAACAUGGCAUUUAUGUCUUACCUGAUGUGAAUUAUAAUUCAGUUAUGCAUGUUUCUUCUAGUUUUAAAAGAAAAAGAGAUAGUCAAUUAAAUAAAACAUAUCUUUGGCACUGUAGGCUUGGUCAUGUUGGUGAGAAAAGAAUUAACAAGUUAUACAAGGAAGGUUACCUUGAUAAUUAUGAUUAUGAAUCAUAUAAAACUUGUGAAUCUUGUCUCAAAGGAAAAAUGACUAAAUCUCCAUUUAUUGGAACUGGAGAAAGAGCCUCUGAAUUAUUGGGACUAGUUCAUACAGAUGUUUGUGGACCCAUGAAAAUUCAAGCCAAAUGAGGAUAUUCUUAUUUUAUAACCUUCACUGAUGACAUGUCAAGAUAUGGUUUUUUGUAUCUCAUGAAACAUAAAUCUGAGUCAUUUGAAAUGUUCAAAAGGUUUCGCAGUGAAGUUGAAAAACAAACAGGUAACAGUAUCAAAGUGCUGAGAUCUGAUAGAGGAGGAGAAUAUCUCAGUGAAAAUUUUAUUGACUAUCUAAGAGAGAAUGGGAUUCUCUCACAGUGGACACCCCCAGGAACACCACAGCACAAUGGUGUAUCAGAAAGGAGAAAUCGAACCUUAUUAGAUAUGGUAAGAUCUAUGAUGAGGUUCACUGAUCUUCCAUUAAAUUUAUGGGGAUAUGCUUUAGAAGCAGCAGCUUAUUUACUAAACAAAAUCCAUACAAAAACAAUAUCUACAACUCCGUAUGAGAUAUGGAAAGGGCGUAAACCAAAUCUCAAACACAUUAAGGUUUGGGGUUGUCCAGCUUACGUUAAGAAAUUACAAACAGAUAAACUUGAGGCAAGGUCAGAUAAGUGUAGGUUCAUUGGGUAUCCCAAAGAAACAAUGGGAUAUUAUUUCUACCACCCUUUAGACCAUAAAGUGUUUGUGGCAAGAGGAGGAACCUUUCUAGAAAGGGAAUUUCUUGCAGAAGGGAGUCAUGGCAAAGAAAUAGAGCUUGAUGAAACUCAAGAAGAAACCAAUGAAACAACAGCAGCUCAAGAACAUGAGAUGGAAUUUGAGCAACCUUUCUUUGAUGUCUUAAAAUCAACACAAAGGUUACAAUCUCCAACAAUUGUGGCUCCAGAACCAGCUAUAGUUCAAGAACAAGUUAAUGAACCUGAACCAGCUGUAGUUCAAGAACAGGUUAAUGAACCAAUCUUAGAACAGAUUCAGCAACCUCUGAAUCCAAUACAUGAGCCUCUAAGAAGGUCUAGUCGAGCACAUCGUGCGCCGGAUAGACUAAACUUGAUGGUUCAAGAUGACUUGUCUAAUGAGGUUCAUCAUAAUGAUGAUGACCCUAAGAACUAUGAAGAGGCUAUGCAAAGCUUGGACCGCAAUAAAUGGCAAGAAGCCAUGGAAUCCGAAAUAGAAUCAAUGAAGAUCAACAAAGUAUGGACUUUGGUUGAAGCUUCAAAGGAUAUAAAACCAAUUGGUUGUAAAUGGGUUUACAAGAAAAAGAUUGGAGCAGAUGGAAAAGUUGAGACUUACAAAGCUCGCCUUGUUGCUAAAGGAUAUCGUCAAAAAGAAGGAAUUGAUUAUGAUGAAACUUUUUCCCCAGUGGCAAUGCUCAAAUCAAUUCGGAUUCUACUUGCCAUAGCAGCAUACUAUGAUUAUGAAAUAUGGCAAAUGGAUGUGAAAACAGCUUUUCUUAAUGGUGAGUUGAAAGAGGAUGUAUACAUGACACAACCUGAAGGAUACACAUCAAUGUCUGAUCAUAAUAAAGUUUGCAAGUUGCGACGAUCCAUUUAUGGAUUAAAACAAGCUUCAAGAAGUUGGAACAUACAUUUUAACAAGACAAUCGAAAAGUUCGAUUUUGUUAAAUGUGAAGAAGAACCUUGUGUGUACAAAAGGUUUAGUGGGAGCACAAUCAUUUUCUUAGUGUUAUAUGUAGAUGACAUAUUGCUUAUAGGAAAUGAUAUACCAGCAAUGCAAGGGACAAAGGUUUGGCUAUCAGAACAGUUCUCCAUGAAAGAUUUGGGAGAAGCAGCCUAUAUUCUAGGAAUAAAGAUUUAUAGAGAUAGAUCUAAAAGGUUGCUUGGACUAUCCCAAUCCAUGUACAUUGAUACCAUCUUAAAGAGGUAUAAUAUGGAAAACUCCAAAAGGGGCUAUUUACCAAUAGGAACUGGAGUUACUCUUAGUAGGGAGGAUUGUCCUAAAACUCCUAAAGAGAGAGAACGCAUGAAUAGGGUACCAUAUGCUAGCGCAGUGGGAGCUAUUAUGUAUACCAUGACUUGUACACGUCCUGAUGUCGCUUAUGCACUAAGUGUAGCUAGUCGAUAUCAGGCAAACCCUGGUGAGGAACAUUGGAAAGUGGUCAAGACCAUUCUUAAAUACUUAAGAAGAACUAAAGACCAAUUCCUUAUCUAUGGAGAAUCUGAAUUAAAAUUAAAGGGUUAUACUGAUGCAAGUUUUGCAUCAGAUAAAGAUGAUAGCAAAUCUAUUUCAGGUUAUGUUUUCACCUUAAAUGGUGGUGCAGUGAGUUGGAAAAGCUCCAAACAAGCUACAGUAGCAGAUUCAACUACUGAAGCCGAAUAUAUAGCAGCAAGUGAGGCAGCUAAGGAAGCAGUUUGGAUGAAGAAGUUCAUAUCUGAACUUGGUGUGGUUCCUUCAAUUGAAGAACCAAUUCCACUGUUAUGUGACAAUAAUGGAGCAAUUGCUCAAGCAAAGGAACCAAGAUCACACCAAAAGUCUAAACAUGUCUUGCGAAUGUAUCACUUGAUUAGAGAAAUCAUUGAACGUGGUGACGUUAAGAUUGAAAAGAUAGAUGGAAAAGAGAAUGCGGCAGACCCAUUUACCAAAGCACUUGGCAUAACGCAGUUUGACAAGCACAAAUGGGAAGUGGGAAUGAAAUACAUGACUGAUUGGCUCUAGUGCAAGUGGAAGAUUGUUGGGGAUAAAUGUAUGCCCAAGAUCCAAUCUAUCAUGUAAUCAACUUUAGUUUUAAUAAGGUAUUAAUUCUUUAUUUCAUUAUCAUAUCUGUUUAAAAUAGUUUAUAUGAUAAGGUCCUUGAUUAAAAUUUGAAAAUUGUUAUCAUGAUAGAGAUUAUGAUAAUGAGAAGCAAUUCUUUUAAUAAUUUUAAUCUAAACUGUUCUUGAUCAUAGGAUUAUUGUCAACAGGACAUCAAUAAUCCAGAUAGAUCAAUAUAUAUGUGAUGGUCUUUAUUGGAUAAAGAUUGAUAUAUCUCAUUUGUUAAAUUACAUAUAUAGAUGAUGCACAUGUAGAUGUGAUCAUUGAACUGACUCAACUGAGAAUUUCUAAUGGUCAUCUUUACCUUAAAUUGUCAAUAGGAAUUUCUCAAGAAGAAAUAUAAUAGUUUUCUUUGACCUGAGAUUAUCAAAGUAAUUAACAAGUUAUUUAUUAUAUUUUAAUCCCGGACACCUAAUGCCUUAGGGCACUAGUUGAAUGGAUAUUGGAUAUAAUUAAAUACUUGUAGAAUUAAUGAUUAAUCAAGAAGGAAUCCAUCAACUCGUGGUAAUGAGUUUGAGCUCUAUGAUAAAAAUAAGACCUUGGCCAAGGGCAAUUGAAUGAAUGAAGAAAUGAGUUUCUUAAGUUAUUCACUAAAUAAAUAAUGUGCUGACUUAUUAGAGUUUGACAGUAAUACCAUACUCUAGAGUUAGCCCAGAACUGUAAAUGAUGGAAGGAAAUAUUACAUUAUUCUUCUACCGGUUCUUGAAAGUAAAAGAUAUUACUUCAUACUAUCUGGACGUUAAGGAGUGUUGCUAGACGCCUACCUUAAUUAGUAAAUUGAUUUGAUUAAUUUACUACCAGCUUAGUACUAAACCUACGAGGUCACACACAAACGAGUGUUUUAAUCUUUGCAAAGAACUAUUUAUUAUUAUUUGAUAAUUAAAUUAGAGAAUUUAAUUUUAAUCAAAUAAAUAAAUAUGUUCUAUGUGGAAUAUUAUUAUAUUCUUUGCUAGCACCAAGAAUAUAAUUAAUAUAUAGAUAAAAAAAUAAAAUAUUUUUCUUUGGACGUGGAAGUUAGUCCACGAGAAUGUUUGCUAAACAUUUGCAAACAUAUGGGUACAUGCAGCAACUUACAGGGGGGAUGUGGGUUUUGUUUUUAACUUACAAGACUUGGUCAAAGUGUUUUUCAAAUGCUAUUGAAAAUAGCAAAAGAAAAACAAAUGGACCAAUAGAAUCUCUUAGUAGCCCAAAAAAGAAGGAGGACACGAUAGAGAUAGAUUAAGUGAUAAAAUCAAAAAUCAAAUUAGUUGAGUUAUCUUAUCACUUAAAACAGAAGUUGUAUCGGAUAUGCUAUAUAGCAUAUAUACACAAUCUGAAUAAGGAUCGAUCUAUCUUUAUCCUCCUUGUUUUUACGCCAAAGAAAUACAAAGUGUUGUUCUAUUUUUUUUAAGUUCCACGUAUCAAAGGGUUGAUAGCAAAGAUUAAUUUCGGUGUGGAUACACGUAGAGUCUUCAUACAAUUGGAGAAAAUUUUAUGCUUGAAGAACUGAUAUCCAGGUUAUUAUUUUAAAUUUUUUGAUAGCUGCAGUAUAUAUUUUGAAUGCAAAAUAGAUCAAUUUUCCACUGUAUGUGUUAUAAAUUUAUUUUAUAACCUUUCACAUUGAGCACAGCUUUGUACAGUUCCAAGUAAUAGAAUUCUGCAGUCACAAAACCAAAAGAUGUAUACGUCAGCCUAGAUUUCCCUAAUAUGUAUAUUUCUUCAACGUUCACAAUGUCCUAAUACUAAAAUUAUUUUUAAAAAAUAAAUCAUUUAAGUUAUGUUUGGUUCUUAGAAAAUUUGACAAAAAAAUAGAGGGGAAAGAAAAGAAAGUAAAUUGAAAAAAUAGAAGGCAAGAAAAAGUGAAAUAAAAUACAUCUAAAAUCAAUAAAUUAAUUAUUUUUAAUUAAUUUAUUUUAAUUAUAUUUUAUUUUCUUAAAUAUUUUUUUUCGAUAUAACCAAAUACGGGAAAAUCAUUUUCCUUGAUAUCUUUUCUUUGCUAAUUAUUUUCUUGGACUUCUUUGUUUACAUCUAAUCAACAUCUUUAUAUAUUUCAAUAAUAGUUUGAACCUCCAAUAAACUACACGAAUUAAAAUUUAAUUUUCUUCCAUUUUUUAUUUUAACAGCAGGUUGUAAAAUACUUCUACUUGUAUACUAAUUAUGCCCAAAAGUUUCAGGAGGACCUCAAACGGAAAUGGGCAUGAACAUGGUUUUCAGCAUCUCACCGGAGCUGCUAGUCCUUCGCAAAGAUGAAGAUGAAACCACUGAAACAUAUUCAUUGGUAUGGUGUGCCGUGUCGAUGGUAGUAGUUCUUUUCAAUGAUGAAGUGGAAGAGACUGGGCCAUAUUCAUCAGUAUCCUGCGCCAUAUUGAUGCUGCUACAGUUAGGAUUGUUUGGGCUGUCAUCGAUUACCGAGAGUGGUAAUGAAGAGGAAGCCAUUACAGUGAACUCCUCAUCAUGCUCAGCAAUGUCCAUGUUACUGUUUGUAGGGCUGUUUGCGCUGUUGUCAUUUAUAAGACGUAGUGAAGAAGAAGAAGCCAUUACAACAAAUUCUUUAUCGUGCUGAUAGUCAUUGCCAUGUUUAGCGAAGUUAUUCUAAUGUGCAACAGAAAACCUAAACAAAAUCUGCAGUUGACAAAGGUCAAAAUUAACUUACCUCGCAGAUGGAUUUGUUAUCUAUGAUAGAAGAUUAUAUUUAACUAUAUCAAGGCAGAGAAGAUACUCUCAUCCAAAGAGAGACAACAGCAGCCCUUUUUCCCAGAGUCUUCAAAUGAUACAGGAAAUGGGCCAGGAACCAUUGAAGCAUAAGAGGUACAAUGAUAGAGUCUUCCAAGUCAACUUUAUUUAGUUGAGUAUUGGGUAAGGAGUAGAUAGCGUUGAAACGUUAUGACUGGUGGAUGAGAGUCAUUCAAAAUAAUAGGCAUACAUGAUUUAUUCAUAUAUAAAUUAAACAAAGAAAAUUAGGGGGUAAUUUUGAGCUGUUUGUUUUCGCAUGAUUUCUUCUGACUGUGUUGCUGGGCAUUACUAGGUCUUUUCUUUUUAAUUUUUCAUGUUUUAUUUUAAGACGAUAUCCAGAAGUAGUAGGUAUGGUAUAUGAAUUAUGGUCUGCGGGCAUGUUGAACACAGACUUGAAUUUCACUUAGAAUGAUAAACAUUCAUAGAGCCAAAUGUAAAUCCAGGCGAAUUUGAGAAAGGAUAUGGAGGUUCAUUAUCUCUGGUGACGCUUAAUAAAUAUAAAGUCAGCUCUUUAUGACCAUACCUAACAGCGCUGUGAAGAGGCGCAAAAUUGUCGCGUUGGCAGAUAUUGGGCAAGCUUGGGUUUUUGUUCACUAACAACUUGACUGCUUUUAUAUUGCCAGCCCUUGCAGCGUUGAAAAGGGCAGUGACGCCAUCAGAAUCCCGCAGAGCCAGUGCCUCACUUGG